rnacentral:rRNA from 1 species
CGCAGCCGCGGUAAUUCCAGCUCCAAUAGCGUAUAUUAAAGUUGUUGCAGUUAAAAAGCUCGUAGUUGAAUUUCGGGAUUAGUACGUUGGUCGUGCCUUAGGUACGUACUGGUGUUACUGGCUCCUACCUUCUGACGAACCAUCAUGUCAUUAAUCUGGUGUGGCGGGGAAUCAGGACUGUUACUUUGAAAAAUUAGAGUGUUUAAAGCAGGCUCGCGCUUGAAUACAUUAGCAUGGAAUAAUGAAAUAGGACGUUGACCCUAUUUUGUUGGUUUCUAGGAUUGACGUAAUGAUUAAUAGGGAUAGUUGGGGGCAUUAGUAUUCAAUUGUCAGAGGUGAAAUUCUUGGAUUUAUUGAAGACUAACUACUGCGAAAGCAUUUGCCAAGGAUGUUUUCAUUAAUCAAGAACGAAAGUUAGGGGAUCGAAGACGAUCAGAUACCGUCGUAGUCUUAACCAUAAACUAUGCCGACUAGGGAUCGGAUGAUGUUAUUUUUAAUGACUCAUUCGGCGCCUUACG